rnacentral:rRNA from 1 species
CAAGGAAGGCAGCAGGCGCGCAAAUUACCCACUCCCGGCACGGGGAGGUAGUGACGAAAAAUAACGAUACGGGACUCAUCCGAGGCCCCGUAAUCGGAAUGAGUACACUUUAAAUCCUUUAACGAGGAUCAAUUGGAGGGCAAGUCUGGUGCCAGCAGCCGCGGUAAUUCCAGCUCCAAUAGCGUAUAUUAAAGUUGUUGCGGUUAAAAAGCUCGUAGUCGAAUCUGUGUCGUGCGCCGCCGGUUCAUCGCUCGCGGUGUCAACUGGCGUGUCGCAGGACGUCCUGCCGGUGGACUUAGCCGCGACGUCGUCUCGCGCGGCGUCGUGGCGGUCCAACUUCAACAAUCCCACCGCGGUGCUCUUCGCUGAGUGUCGAGGUGGGCCGGCACGUUUACUUUGAACAAAUUAGAGUGCUUAAAGCAGGCUAAAAUUUCGCCUGAAUACUGUGUGCAUGGAAUAAUGGAAUAGGACCUCGGUUCUAUUUUGUUAGUUUUCGGAACCCCGAGGUAAUGAUUAAUAGGAACGGAUGGGGGCAUUCGUAUUGCGACGUUAGAGGUGAAAUUCUUGGAUCGUCGCAAGACGGACUUAAGCGAAAGCAUUUGCCAAAAACGCUUUCAUUGAUCAAGAACGAAAGUUAGAGGUUCGAAGGCGAUCAGAUACCGCCCUAGUUCUAACCAUAAACGAUGCCAGCUAGCGAUCCGCCGACGUUCCUCCGAUGACUCGGCGGGCAGCUUCCGGGAAACCAAAGCUUUUGGGUUCCGGGGGAAGU